UACAUUGUGGGAACAGAUGUAAUCAAGUUCUUCCUGGGCUGCUAUGUGUCCCCCUCAGGCCUCUCCCUCAUUCCGACUGCAGCCCCUGUCACAUGUCCUGGGCACACCCAGGAUGACCCACACAGACACAUGAGCUGCGUGCUCUUGGCCCGGCAGGGUGAACAGCAGGGGUGGUGCCAUUUCCUGGGGAGCAGCUUGGCUGGACUGGAGGUUGGGGACAGUUGGAGGGUAGAGGAGCCGAUGCAGCUUCUCCAAGCUAGGCGGAGAUCCAAAGGAAACACAGCUGGAGACAGGAGAAGCAAGCCAGGUGACCCAGCUGACAUCCUGGGCAGAAACCCAGCUUGGCAUCCUAUGGCCACUGUCACCUGUGCUUACGUACUUGGACCAGAACAAGGGCUGGUGAACCAGGGCUGAGCAGGGACUCCAGCCAGCAGCCUGCUGUCUGAACACUCUGGAGUCGGCUUCCGAGACGCAGUGGUGGACUCAACAAAGCCCGAAAUACGAACCAUCUGGUGCUUUACCGGAAAGCUUUGAAGAAGCAGGACUGGAACCACGUCUGUCUGGACCAAGCACUUAGUGCUUUCCUGCCUGGGUCUCCGUGGUGCGCCGAACUCACUCUAGAUGUAGAAAAGCAUCUUUCUUUCUUUCUUUCUUUCUUUCUUUCUUUCUUUCUUUCUUUCUUUCUCUCUCUCUCUCUCUUUCUUUCUUUCUUUCGCUGGCCAUGUUUUAUUUGUCCUUUUUCUUCAAACAGGACAGCCAAGAUACAGACGUACAGAGUAAAAUAAAAUAGAUGGACAGAUCCUAAGAGACUGCGAUGCACAGGCUACAUUCAACCUGAUUUUAUUCAUGCUUGCCUUUGGGUGGGGAAUAGAUCAUUCAGUAAAAACAUACAGUAAAAACAAACAAUGUCUUACCAUGUACAACUUUUAAACUACAAUAAUUAUGUACCUUAAUUACUUCCUGCGCACAGGUCUAACAUUACAGUAUUUUUUAAAAAAUAAACACAAUUAAGACUUCUAGGAGGGCUGGGGAUGUGGCUCAAGCGGUAGCGCGCUCGCCUGGCAUGCGUGCAGCCCCGGGUUCGAUCCUCAGCACCACAUACAAACAAAGAUGUUGUGUCCGCUGAGAACUAAAAAAUAAAUAUUAAAAAAAAGACUUCUAGGAACAUUUUUAUCAUAAAUUAAUUCCUAAUUUUUCUUUGUAGAUAGAUCAAGCACCUCCAAAAUACAAAUUCCUAUCCACGGUGAGUACUUUACUUAAAAUGUAGGAAAGAUUUCUUCCCAGUCCCUCUGAGUGCUGGGAAUACUCCUUUCCCUCUUCAGCGGAAGGGAUUUGGGGGGAUUCUCGUCUGUCAUCCUUCAAAGCCAAGAAGUUUGGGGUCAGGGACACAACCAAAGCCCUUCCUCCAACAUCACUCUGACCUGUGAGGGCUGAGGACAGUUGUUGUUUGGUGCUGGGAUUGAACCCAGAGGGACUUUACCACUGAGCCACAUGUCCACUCCUUUUUAUUUUUUAUUUUUCAGACAAGGUCUUGCUAUAUUCCUUAGGGCUGAGGCUGGCCUCCAACUUGUAAUCCUCCUGCCUCAGCCUUCGGAGUCACUGGGAUCACGGGCGCGUACCACUGCAGCUGGCCUGAGGAUUUUUUUUUUUUUUUUUUUUAUAAAUUUUUUUUAAGAGAGAGAGAAUUUUUUAAUAUUUAUUUUUUAGUUUUCGGCAGACACAAUGUCUUUCUUUGUAUGUGGUGCUGAGGAUCGAACCCGGGCCGCACGCAUGCCAGGCGAGCGCGCUACCGCUUGAGCCACAUCCCCAGCCCCUGAGGAUGGUUUUGAGAGAAAGGGAAACCCAGGUAAUGGAGAGGGGCAGGCUAGUGGGCAGGUCCCUGGAAUCAGGGCACCUCUGAAAUGGAAAAGAACCAAAGGAAUGCCAUUUUGCUCUGACCUGCCUCCAUUUUAUGCUUGCUUAAACUGUCUUCUUUCCAGCCUCCUGACGCUGUAUCUGUGCUGACAGUACAGUAGGACCUUCCCGCCCCCUGACUAAGGCCCUGAUGUACAACAGAAAUGACUCUGAAAUGGAUAAUCAAAACAAUUCUCUCAUGUUACCAAAAUAUGUCUCAACAAGGUCUUUUCUGACCUACAUCUGGCUCAACUGUCUUUGUGGUUUUUGUGGGUUUUGCCUUUAUAAACUCUAUACUUUCAAAAUUCGGGAGCUGGGAGUUCUGGAAGGCGCUAGCCCGCUCCCAACCGCUUGCCUGGCACACUCAUUAAAGGACUUUUCCCCUUUCGA